rnacentral:tRNA from 1 species
GAGGACGUAGCUCAGCCCGGUAGAGCAGCGGACUUUUAAUCCGUCGGUCGUGGGUUCGAAUCCCACCGUCCUCA